UCAAAUAACUUUUAUUAAUGAAAAAUCAUAUACAAUCUACAAGAAUAAGCACAAUCAUCAACAGACUAACGAUUGGCUUUAGGACAUAUUUUUUCACAACUUUCAUUUGGACUAAAGUCAAUCGGUACAGUAUCGUAUACCUAUCUUCAACUUGUGAUCAUCGAACUCUUUGAUUCUGAGAGCUUUAGUAAAUGGGUCGGUC
rnacentral:lncRNA from 1 species